UGAGCAAUCUGCCCUUCUCAUCGGAAUAAGCGUUGGAAACGACGUCUAAUGCCGAAUACGACCUCCUUUCGCAUGAUCGGAGGUGGAAAGCUCCGGCGGAGAAGGAUGAGCUCGCGGCCUAUCAGCUAGUUGGUGUGGUAAUGGCCCACCGAGGCGACGGACGGGUAGCCGGCCUGAGAGGGUGACCGGCCACACUGGGACUGAGACACGGCCCAGACCUCCGUACGGGAGCAG
rnacentral:rRNA from 1 species